CGACUAUUGGAAUAUAUUUGAUAAUGGACAGGUGCUUCGAAUACUUGAAAGUUAACAAUGAUAUUUGAUGUAGUACUCUAUUGACAACAUAUAUUGUGCUUGCAUGACUAAUGCUGCAGUCCACAUGAAUUAUCUGAACGAUCCUCAGGACUGGAAUAUAAGGCCAGAGAGACAGGGUGGUGGUGGUGACAGCAGCAAGUGGGAUUUUGCCCUCCUGGAUGGGUCCAAGGAGUCUCUAAUGUAAAUUGAGGAGGUCAAAGUCAAGUAUGAAAAGACCGUAAAGACAAUCCAGAAGGACCUGGAUGUGAAAUACUUCAGUUGGCAGCUGUCUGUCGUAAUGUUGACUAGCACAAUCACAAUCCGCCAACAAUACCAGCUACUAGCACUGUUUUUUAGUGUUAAAUAGACGCCAUUUUUUUCUUCUUUUUUUUCCCCCCAACAGUUAAACAGUUUCCCACAGAAAAAAAACAGGAGGUGCUGCAGCACCCUCAGCACCCCCACUUCCGGCGCCUAUGCCCGGGCG